rnacentral:tRNA from 1 species
AAGGGAGACCUCCCGCUAGUCUUAAGGUUAUUGUUAAUAGAUAACUAAUAACUAAAGUUUAGACGGUCAACCUAAGGUCGGUCGAGGAAUAUGUUGAAGUGACUUUCGAACUGUCUAGGUAAGAGAGAUGGGCUAUUAGCUCAGGUGGUUAGAGCGCACCCCUGAUAAGGGUGAGGUCCCUGGUUCGAGUCCAGGAUGGCCCACCAUUUAUUUGAGGGGGUUUAGCUCAGUUGGUAGAGCGCCUGCUUUGCAAGCAGGAUGUCAACGGUUCGAGUCCGUUAACCUCCACUGUAGUUCAGCACCUUAUCUCAAGAUUUUUCUCAAUCGAGAAAGCGUGCUGGAUUAAAAUCCAGGCGGAACCUUGAAAACUGCAUAG